rnacentral:rRNA from 1 species
GCACAAGCGGUGGAGCAUGUGGUUUAAUUCGAAGCAACGCGAAGAACCUUACCAGGUCUUGACAUCCCUGACAACCCGAGAGAUCGGGCGUUCCCCGUUCGGGGGGACAGGGUGACAGGUGGUGCAUGGUUGUCGUCAGCUCGUGUCGUGAGAUGUUGGGUUAAGUCCCGCAACGAGCGCAACCCUCGACCUUAGUUGCCAGCAUUCAGUUGGGCACUCUAAGGUGACUGCCGGCUAAAAGUCGGAGGAAGUGGGGAUGACGUCAAAUCAUCAUGCCCCUUAUGACCUGGGCUACACACGUGCUACAAUGGGCGGUACAAAGGGUCGCGAACCCGCGAGGGGGAGCCAAUCCCAAAAAGCCGCUCUCAGUUCGGAUUGCAGGCUGCAAUUCGCCUGCAUGAAGUCGGAAUCGCUAGUAAUCGCAGGUCAGCAUACUGCGGUGAAUACGUUCCCGGGCCUU